rnacentral:pre_miRNA from 1 species
CCCGCGGCCGGCGGGGAAACCGUUACCAUUACUGAGUUUAGUAAUGGUAACGGUUCUGCCGACGGCCGGCAA